rnacentral:rRNA from 1 species
AACGCGAAGAACCUUACCUGGGCUUGACAUGUCUCUGACAGCUGUGGAAACACAGUCUCCCUUCGGGGCAGAGUCACAGGUGGUGCAUGGCUGUCGUCAGCUCGUGUCGUGAGAUGUUGGGUUAAGUCCCGCAACGAGCGCAACCCCCGUCGCAUGUUGCCAGCAUUUAGUUGGGGACUCAUGGGAGACUGCCGGGGUCAACUCGGAGGAAGGUGGGGAUGAGGUCAAGUCAUCAUGCCCCUUAUGUCUUGGGCUGCAAACAUGCUACAAUGGCCGGUACAGAGGGCUGCGAGACCGUAAGGUGGAGCGAAAUCUCAAAAAGCCGGUCUCAGUUCGGAUUGGGGUCUGCAACUCGACCCCAUGAAGUCGGAGUCGCUAGUAAUCGCGAAUCAGCAACGUCGCGGUGAAUACGUUCCCGGGCCUUGUACACACCGAGACGAC